rnacentral:rRNA from 1 species
CAGAACCUUACCUGGGCUUGACAUGCCUAGGAUUAUCUCGGUGAAAGUCGAGUAGGCCCUUCGGGGUACAGCUAGAACAGGUGCUGCAUGGCUGUCGUCAGCUCGAGUCGUGAGAUGUCGGGUUAAGUCCCUUAACGAGCGAAACCUUUGCCCUUAGUUACCAGCGGGUCAUGCCGGGGACUCUAAGGGGACUGCCGGUGUCAAACCGGAGAAAGGAGGAGAUGACGUCAAGUCCUCAUGGCCUUUAUGCCCAGGGCCACACACGUGCUACAAUGGGGUGCACAGAGCGAACCUAAACUGCAAAGUAAUGGAAAUCGCAUAAAUCACCCCCCAGUUCAGAUAGUAGGCUGCAACCCGCCUCUGUGAAGUUGGAAUCGCUAGUAAUCGCGGAUCAGAUACGCACGCGGUGAAUGUGUUCAUGAGCCUUGUACACACCGCCCGUCAAGUCAUGGGAGCCGGAAACGACAGAAGCCGCGGCA